UACGAAGGGGGCUAGCGUUGCUCGGAAUCACUGGGCGUAAAGGGUGCGUAGGCGGGUCUUUAAGUCAGGGGUGAAAUCCUGGAGCUCAACUCCAGAACUGCCUUUGAUACUGAGGAUCUUGAGUACGGGAGAGGUGAGUGGAACUGCGAGUGUAGAGGUGAAAUUCGUAGAUAUUGGGAAGAACACCGGUGGCGAAGGCGGCUACACUGGCUCAUUUCUGACGCUCAGGCGCGACAGCGUGGGGAUCAAACAGG
rnacentral:rRNA from 1 species